rnacentral:rRNA from 1 species
GACGAACGCUGGCGGCGUGCUUAACACAUGCAAGUCGAACGGAAAGGCCCUGCUUGCAGGGUACUCGAGUGGCGAACGGGUGAGUAACACGUGGGUGAUCUGCCCUGCACUUCGGGAUAAGCCUGGGAAACUGGGUCUAAUACCGGAUAGGAGCCAUUUUUAGUGUGAUGGUUGGAAAGUUUUUUCGGUGUAGGAUGAGCUCGCGGCCUAUCAGCUUGUUGGUGGGGUAAUGGCCUACCAAGGCGGCGACGGGUAGCCGGCCUGAGAGGGUGGACGGCCACAUUGGGCCUGCGAUACGGCCCAGACUCCUACGGGGGGCAGCAGUGGGGAAUAUUGCACAAUGGGCGCAAGCCUGAUGCAGCGACGCCGCGUUGGGGAUGACCUCCUUCGGGUUGUAAACUCCUUUCGCUAGGGACGAAGCUUUUGUGACGGUACCUAGAUAAGAAGCACCGGCUAACUACGUG